rnacentral:rRNA from 1 species
UACAGAGGUCCCAAGCGUUGUUCGGAUUCAUUGGGCGUAAAGGGUGCGUAGGCGGCGCGGUAAGUCGGGUGUGAAAUCUCGGAGCUUAACUCCGAAACUGCAUUCGAUACUGCCGUGCUUGAGGACUGGAGAGGAGACUGGAAUUUACGGUGUAGCGGUGAAAUGCGUAGAUAUCGUAAGGAAGACCAGUGGCGAAGGCGGGUCUCUGGACAGUUCCUGACGCUGAGGCACGAAGGUCCAGGGGAGCAAACGGG